CAGCAGCCGCGGUAAUACGGGGGGGGCAAGUAUUAUUCGGAAUGACUGGGCGUAAAGGGCACGUAGGCGGUGAAAAGGGUGGAAAGUGAAAGUCUCCAAAACACUGGCGGGGUGCUUUCUUGACCAUUUCACUUGAGUGAGAUAGGGGAGAGUGGAAUUUCGUGUGGAGGGAUCAAAUCCUAAGAUAUACGAAGGAACGCCAACCGCGAAGGCAGCUCUCUGGGUCCCCACUGACGCUGGGGUGCGAAAGCAUGGGGAGCAAACAGGAUCAGAUACCCCGGUAGUCCCUGUCUCUUAUACA
rnacentral:rRNA from 1 species